GAAUUUUUUCCAGUAGUAGUGUCGGUGGAGCUGUGGGGUUCAGAGCUAGCAAACAAGAGAGUGGUGUUCAACUCAGAUAACAUGGCAGCGGUGCAGGCAAUUAAUGGUUUAUCUGCAUCAUCGCUGCCGGUAGCGCGGUUAUUGAGGCAAUUAGUGCUCUUGUGUAUGUCUUAUAAUAUUGUGUUUCAAGCUAGACAUAUUCCGGGGCUGAGGAAUGUAGUUGCUGAUGCGCUGUCUCGUUUACAGUGGGAGCGUCUUCG